rnacentral:rRNA from 1 species
AUUGAACGCUGGCGGCAGGCCUAACACAUGCAAGUCGAACGAGUGGCGGACGGGUGCGUAAUGUAUGGGGAACUGCCUGAUGGAGGGGGAUCACUACUGGAAACGGUAGCUAAUACCGCAUACCAUCGGAUGUGCCACUAUGGGAUUAGCUAGUAGGUGGGGGAAAGGCGCACCUAGGCGACUAUACCUAGCUGGUCUGAGAGGAUGACCAGCCAACCGGGAACGGAGCCACGGUCCAGACUCCUACGGGAGGCAGCAGUGGGUAAUAGUGCACAAUGGGCGCAAGCCUGAUGCAGCCAUGCCGCGUGUAUGAAGAAGGCCUUCGGGUUGUAAAGUACUUUCAGCCGGGAGGCGUUACCCGCAGAAGAAGCACCGGCUAACUCCGUGCCAGCCGCCGCGGUAAUAC